rnacentral:rRNA from 1 species
UACGAAGGGGGCUAGCGCUGCUCGGAAUGACUGGGCGUAAAGGGCGCGUAGGCGGCGCAGUUAGUCAGGCGUGAAAUUCCUGGGCUCAACCUGGGGACUGCGCUUGAUACGGCUGUGCUUGAGGAUGGAAGAGGCUCGCGGAAUUCCCAGUGUAGAGGUGAAAUUCGUAGAUAUUGGGAAGAACACCGGUGGCGAAGGCGGCGAGCUGGUCCAUUACUGACGCUGAGGCGCGACAGCGUGGGGAGCAAACAGG